rnacentral:rRNA from 1 species
GAUGAACGCUGGCGGCGUGCCUAAUACAUGCAAGUCGAGCGAACAGACGAGGAGCUUGCUCCUCUGACGUUAGCGGUGGACGGGUGAGUAACACGUGGAUAACCUACCUAUAAGACUGGGAUAACUUCGGGAAACCGGAGCUAAUACCGGAUAAUAUAUUGAACCGCAUGGUUCAAUAGUGAAAGACGGUUUUGCUGUCACUUAUAGAUGGAUCCGCGCCGCAUUAGCUAGUUGGUAAGGUAUCGGCUUACCAAGGCAACGAUGCGUAGCCGACCUGAGAGGGUGAUCGGCCACACUGGAACUGAGACACGGUCCAGACUCCUACGGGAGGCAGCAGUAGGGAAUCUUCCGCAAUGGGCGAAAGCCUGACGGAGCAACGCCGCGUGAGUGAUGAAGGUCUUCGGAUCGUAAAACUCUGUUAUUAGGGAAGAACAAAUGUGUAAGUAACUAUGCACGUCUUGACGGUACCUAAUCAGAAAGCCACGGCUAACUACGUG